UACGAAGGGGGCUAGCGUUGCUCGGAUUUACUGGGCGUAAAGGGCGCGUAGGCGGACAGUUAAGUUGGGGGUGAAAGCCCGGGGCUCAACCUCGGAAUUGCCUUCAAUACUGGCUGUCUUGAGUGUGAGAGAGGUGUGUGGAACUCCGAGUGUAGAGGUGAAAUUCGUAGAUAUUCGGAAGAACACCAGUGGCGAAGGCGACACACUGGCUCACUACUGACGCUGAGGCACGAAAGCGUGGGGAGCAAACAGG
rnacentral:rRNA from 1 species